rnacentral:rRNA from 1 species
CGAGAGAGGCGGUCCCCGCCUCGUGGGGGGCUCCGGCCCCCCGACUCUUCACCCGAUGGGGACUCAGCAGCGUUUCUUUGGCGGCGGCUCGCCUCCGCCGUCCGAGGAUUUUCCAACCAUUCCAGUGAUUGAUGUCGUCGGAGCGCGAUCGAAUGAAUGCAAAACUUUCAACAACGGAUCUCUUGGUUCUGGCAUCGAUGAAGAACGCAGCGAAAUGCGAUAAGUAAUGUGAAUUGCAGAAUUCAGUGAAUCAUCGAAUCUUUGAACGCACAUUGCGCCCCUUGGUAUUCCGAGGGGCAUGCCUGUUCGAGCGUCAUUGCACCCGUCAAGCCCGUGCUUGGUGUUGGGCCGACGUCCCUCCCGGGGGACGGGCUCGAAUGGCAGUGGCGGCCCGGCGCGGCUUCGAGCGGAGUAGAUGCGUAUGCCAUGUCGCUCGGGAGACGCGUCCGGGUCCGGCCAGUCAACCGUGUUUUAUCCAACGUUUGACCUCGGAUCAGGUAGGGAUACCCGCUGAACUUAAGCAUAUCAAUAAGCGGAGGAAAAGAAACCAACAGGGAUUGCCUCAGUAACGGCGAGUGAAGCGGCAACAGCUCAAAUUUGAAAUCCGGCUCCUUCGGGGCCUGAGUUGUAAUUUGGAGAGGGUGUUUCGGGCGCGGCGCCGGUCUAAGUUUCUUGGAACAGAACGUCGCAGAGGGUGAGAAUCCCGUACGUGACCGGCGGCCAAGCCCAUGUGAAGCCCCUUCGACGAGUCGAGUUGUUUGGGAAUGCAGCUCAAAACGGGUGGUAAAUUCCAUCUAAAGCUAAAUAUUGGCCAGAGACCGAUAGCGGACAAGUAGAGUGAUCGAAAGAUGAAAAGCACUUUGGAAAGAGAGUCAAACAGUACGUGAAAUUGUUGAAAGGGAAGCGCUUGCGACCAGACCGGCCCGGGGGCGAUCAGCCGCGGCUCGUCCGCGGUGCACUCGCCCUCGACCCGGCCAGCAUCGGUUCGGGCGGCGGGAGAAAAGGCCCGGGAACGUAGCUUCUUUCGGGGAGUCUUAUAGCCCGGGUUGCAAUGCCGCCCGCCCGGACCGAGGACCGCGCUUCGGCUAGGAUGCUGGCGUAAUGGUCGCAAGCGACCCGUCUUGAAACACGGACCAAGGAGUCUAACAUCUAUGCGAGUGUUUGGGUGUCAAACCCAGGCGCGGAAUGAAAGUGAACGGAGGUGGGAGCCCGUCCGGGCGCACCAUCGACCGAUCCUGAUGUUUUCGGAUGGAUUUGAGUAUGAGCAUAGCUGUUGGGACCCGAAAGGUACGUCCGAUCUCCCCUUCUUUUUGGUUGGUAGACAUGCUAACGGUGACGCAGAUGGUGAACUAUGCCCGGAUAGGGUGAAGCCAGAGGAAACUCUGGUGGAGGCUCGCAGCGGUUCUGACGUGCAAAUCGAUC